ACUUUCGAUGGUAGGAUAGUGGCCUACCAUGGUGGCAACGGGUAACGGGGAAUUAGGGUUCGAUUCCGGAGAGGGAGCCUGAGAAACGGCUACCACAUCCAAGGAAGGCAGCAGGCGCGCAAAUUACCCAAUCCCGAUACGGGGAGGUAGUGACAAUAAAUACUGAUACGGGGUUCUUUUGGGUCUCGUAAUUGGAAUGAGAACAAUUUAAAUCCCUUAACGAGGAACAAUUGGAGGGCAAGUCUGGUGCCAGCAGCCGCGGUAAUUCCAGCUCCAAUAGCGUAUAUUAAAGUUGUUGCAGUUAAAAAGCUCAUAGUUGAACCUUGGGUCUGGCUGGCCGGUCCGCCUCACCGCGAGUACUGGUCCGGCUGGACCUUUCCUUCUGGGGAACCCCAUGGCCUUCACUGGCUGUGGGGGGAACCAGGACUUUUACUGUGAAAAAAUUAGAGUGUUCAAAGCAGGCCUUUGCUCGAAUACAUUAGCAUGGAAUAAUAGAAUAG
rnacentral:rRNA from 1 species